AUUGAACGCUGGCGGCAGGCCUAACACAUGCAAGUCGAGCGAGCGGCGGACGGGUGAGUAAUGUCUGGGAAACUGCCUGAUGGAGGGGGAUAACUACUGGAAACGGUAGCUAAUACCGCAUACAAUCAGAUGUGCCCAGAUGGGAGUAGCUAGGAGGGGGGGUAACGGCUCACAUAGGCGACGAUCCCUAGCUGGUCUGAGAGGAUGACCAGCGACACUGUAACAGAGACACGGUCCAGACGCCGAAGUGAGGCAGCAGUGGGGAAUAUUGCACAAUGGGCGCAAGCCUGUAGCAGCCAUGCCACGUGUGUGAAGAAGGCCUUCGGGUUGUAAAGCACUUUCAGCGGGGAGGCGUUACCCGCAGAAGAAGCACCGGCUAACUCCGUGCCAGCCGCCGCGGUAAUUC
rnacentral:rRNA from 1 species